rnacentral:rRNA from 1 species
GACGAACGCUGGCGGCGUGCUUAACACAUGCAAGUCGAACGAAGUGGCGAACGGGUGAGUAAUACGGGGGUAACCUGCCCUCCUUUUUGGGAUAAGCCUUGGAAACGGGGGGUAAUACCGAAUAAAGGGGGGUGGGCUCGCGGCUGAUCGGCUUGUUGGGGGGGUGAUGGCCUACGAGGGCGGUGACGGGUAACCGGCCUGAGAGGGUGACUGGGCACAUGGGGAGUGAGAGACGGCCAAGGUUCCUACGGGAGGCAGAAGUUGGGGAUUGUGCACAAUGGUCGACAGCCUGCUGCAGGUAAGCCGCGUAGGGGAUGAAGGCUUUCGGGUUUUAAACCUCUGUCGCUAUCGAACGGGUAGGUAGCGAAGAAGCGCCGGCUAACUACGUGCCAGCAGCCGCGGUAAUAC